rnacentral:rRNA from 1 species
GACGAACGCUGGCGGCGUGCUUAACACAUGCAAGUCGAGCGGAAAGGCCCUUCGGGGUACUCGAGCGGCGAACGGGUGAGUAACACGUGAGUAAUCUGCCCUUGGCUUUGGGGUAACUACCGGAAACGGUGGCUAAUACCGGAUACGACAACCGUCUGCAUGGGCUGGUUGUGGAAAGUUUUUUCGGCCAGGGAUGUGCUCGCGGCCUAUCAGCUUGUUGGUGGGGUAAUGGCCUACCAAGGCUUCGACGGGUAGCCGGCCUGAGAGGGUGACCGGCCACACUGGGACUGAGACACGGCCCAGACUCCUACGGGAGGCAGCAGUGGGGAAUAUUGGACAAUGGGCGGAAGCCUGAUCCAGCAACGCCGCGUGAGGGAUGACGGCCUUCGGGUUGUAAACCUCUUUCAGUACCGACGAAGCGCCGAUGAUGGUGGUGACGGUAGGUACAGAAGAAGCACCGGCCAACUACGUG